UACGUAGGAGGCGAGCGUUGUCCGGAAUUACUGGGUGUAAAGCGCGUGUAGGCGGCCUGCCAAGUCUGCUGUGAAAGCGCCUGGCUUAACCGGGCGAGGUCGGUGGAAACUGGCGGGCUGGAGGCCGGUAGAGGGGGGUGGAAUUCCCGGUGUAGUGGUGAAAUGCGUAGAGAUCGGGAGGAACACCAGUGGCGAAGGCGGCCCUCUGGGCCGGGCCUGACGCUCAGGCACGAAAGCGUGGGGAGCAAACAGG
rnacentral:rRNA from 1 species